GGCCCGCUAGGUCGGUCUCGCCCCGACACGGUCGCCAUGCCCAAGAGAGGAAAGCGACUCAAGUUCCGGGCCCACGACGCCUGUUCUGGUCGAGUGACCGUGGCGGAUUAUGCCAACUCGGAUCCGGCAGUCGUGAAGUCAGGACGGGUCAAGAAAGCCGUCGCCAACGCUGUUCAGCAGGAAGUAAAAUCUCUUUGUGGUUUGGAAGCCUCCCAGCUUCCUGCAGAGGAAGCUCUUUCUGGGGUUGGUGAGUCCUGUGACAUCAUCGACAGCAGU
rnacentral:lncRNA from 1 species